rnacentral:rRNA from 1 species
CCUACGGGUGGCAGCAGUGAGGAAUAUUGGUCAAUGGGCGCGAGCCUGAACCAGCCAAGUAGCGUGAAGGAUGACUGCCCUACGGGUUGUAAACUUCUUUUAUAAAGGAAUAAAGUGAGGCACGUGUGCCUUUUUGUAUGUACUUUAUGAAUAAGGAUCGGCUAACUCCGUGCCAGCAGCCGCGGUAAUACGGAGGAUCCGAGCGUUAUCCGGAUUUAUUGGGUUUAAAGGGAGCGUAGAUGGGUUGUUAAGUCAGUUGUGAAAGUUUGCGGCUCAAACGUAAAAUUGCAAUUGAUACUGGCAGUCUUGAGUACAGUUGAGGUAGGCGGAAUUCGUGGGGGAGCGGUGAAAUGCUGAGAUAUCACGAAGAACUCCGAUUGCGAAGGCAGCCUACUAAACUGCCACUGACAUUGAUGCUCGAAAGUGUGGGUAUCCAACAGGAUUAGAUACCCUUGUAGUC